rnacentral:rRNA from 1 species
UACGUAGGGACCAAGCGUUGUUCGGAUUUACUGGGCGUAAAGGGCGCGUAGGCGGCGCGGUAAGUCACUUGUGAAAUCUCUGAGCUUAACUCAGAACGGCCAAGUGAUACUGCAGUGCUAGAGUGUGGAAGGGGCAAUCGGAAUUCUUGGUGUAGCGGUGAAAUGCGUAGAUAUCAGGAGGAACACCUGUGGUGUAGACGGCUUACUGGACCGCAACUGACGCUGAGACACGAAAGCGUGGGUAGCAAACAGG